AUCUUUAUACUUCCUCAUUUCUGACAUGACAAAAAGUAGUUCACUUGGGUUAUUAGAAUUCUGCUACAAAAGAUCUGACAUGAACUCGUUAGGGAACAAGAUUCUGUCUAUGAACAUGGUGAAAGUUGGCAUGAUACUGAUUUUCCUCUUUGUUCCAGAUGCUUUGGCUGACUGCCCUGAUGAAGCAGACCUCUUCAUAACUGCACCAAAGAAGUUGGAAGCACUGAGUGGAUCUUGUUUGCAAAUCUCAUGUAGCUUCAGACCCAAAGAAGAACAGAAGUUUAUCACCACUAGAAAAACCUUUGGAGUGUGGAUAAAAAAUGAUUCCAGAAUUUCCAUUUAUCCAAACAAUGUGAUCUUCAACAGUAAUGGAGCAGUUAGCAUCUAUCCAAUGAGUAUUACUGGGAACCUGAGUCAGAGAGACUGCACCACUCUGUUUACUAAUUUAACCACCACAUACACAGACACAUACUUCUUCAGAGUAGAGAGUGAACCAUUCAUGGCGACAGCUCAUUGUGAUCCUCUUCAAAUAACAGUCAGAGAUAUAUCAUUUCAAACCACAGAUUCUCCUUGGAGGCCCAAUAUUACAAUCCCAGAUGAUCUGAAGGAGAAGGAGUCUGUCACUAUAACCUGCUCAGCUCUCACUCCCUGUCCACACUCCCCUCCUCAACUCACCUGGAAUCUCCAACAAGACUCUCACAACAAAAUAGAGGAAAACACAGAUGGAAGCUUUACAACUAAAAUCCAGCAGACCAUCACUCUGUCAGACACACAUGAUGGAAAGAAGAUCAGCUGCUCUGCCAGAUAUCCUGUGAACCAAGGAAAAGACACCAAGACAGCAGAGACAGAAGAGACUCUCAGUGUUUCAUUGCGCCCCAAAGAAACCACAGCAUUUAUCAGUCCAUCAGGUUCAGUGCCAGCAGGCAGUCAGGUGAACCUAGCUUGUUAUAGUAAAGCCAAACCUCCAGUCAGCAGCUUCACCUGGUUCAAGAAGAGCAGAGAUGGAGCUGUGAAAGUAUCUGAAGGAGAGAUUUACAGCUUCAAUGUAACAGAUGGAGGAGUUUAUUACUGUGUGGCCACUAAUGAUCUGGGUAAUCAGACAUCAGCAGAGAUUCAUGUGAAUACUGAAGGUGGUAUUGGUCUCUUUGCUCUACUGCAGACUGCAGGAAUCACAGUGCUUGUGAUCACACUGGCCAUCUUUGAGUGCUGCUUCAGAUCGAGACGCUCCAACAAAUCAGAGAUAGAAAUCUGCCAAAUGAACACUUACUUAACAGCUGAACAACUAAAGUCUAUGCAAGUCGCAAGAGGAGGGAAAACUCCAGUUUAAAAUACAAUAUGAAACUAUUUUUAACGCUUAAGAGUUGGUUUGCCAGAAUUAAGGAUGUUUGUAGAUUUCUUUAUAGUGUGGUGUUCAAAUAUUUUUAGGCAAAUUAUUAAAAAAAAGGCCAUACUGGCUUAAAAUGUAUACCACCAGACCUUAAAAGGUUGCUUGUCUCGCUCAGAUUAUUCAUAUUAGCAAAGUAUGCUUAUAGACCAGGUCAUACUAGAACUCUCUCAGCACAUAUAAGGGAUCACUGUUUAAUAAAUAUAGAUGAUAGGAAACUAGACAGGGUUGUGUUUUUAAAUGCUACUGUGUUCAAUGUCACUGACAACAGUGUUUUAAUAACAAAAUGAAAUGUCUAUAAUGAUGUGUUUUGUGUGUGUGUGUUUAUGGGUGUGUGGAUUUGUCAUGUCUGUUGUGUUUUUGUAAUACGUUUAUCAUCUUCUGCAUGUAAUCUUCCACGGGCCAGCGGAUGCAAAUUAUCUUAAACUAACUCUGGUACAAAACAUUGAAUCACAACAUUUAUGUUAAUAUUGUGCAUUUUUCCUUUUCAAAUAAAAUCAAUUAAUAAUAAUAACUGAACCUAGAUG